rnacentral:lncRNA from 1 species
AUCAGGUACGUUUUUUAUCCAGCCGUGUCAAUACUGCCCCCUAGCCCUAACAGGUUAAUCCAUGACGGCGUAAUGUGUUACUAAUGGUUUUCUUUGAGACUGUGGUCCCAGCUCUCUUCAGGUCAUUGACCAGGUCCUGCCGUGUAGUUCUGGGCUGAUCCCUCACCUUCCUCAUGAUCAUUGAUGCCCCACAAGCCCAUCCCAGCCUUGUGCAGGUCUACAAUUGUAUCCCUGAUGUCCUUACACAGCUCUCUGGUCGUGGCCAUUGUGGAGAGGUUGGAGUCUGUUUGAUUGAUUGUGUGGACAGGUGUCUUUAUACAGACUGCAGGGUGGGAGCUGCAACAAUGGCCUUGAGAACAGCAGGAAGUGUGUUGGUGGUCUUUCUCUGGUCUGUAGCAGUGUUACUGGGUCAGUAUGGCUGAAGUGUGAUGUACACCAUCUGUGCCUUGAAGGGGUCAACAGUGGAGCUGUCCUGCUCUUACACAUAUCCCAGAGGUUAUACAGUCACAACAACCUUCUGGUUUACCAAACUUUAUACCGUGACUCUGAGUGAUGACCCAGACUACAAAGGUCGUGUGACGUACCCUAGCGACAUGAAAAAUGGCCACACUCUGACAAUCAGAGACCUGAGAGAGAGUGACUCAGCUACGUACAAGUUCAGAUUUAUAACAGAUCAGACCGUAGGGAAAUAUACUGGUGAUCCUGGAGUCAUUCUGUCUGUCACAGUCACACUUUAUUUGGAUAAUCUGGAUAGAUGCUCUACAGAUGGUCAGGAUAUCAACAAACUACCUGUUGAUAAUGUGUCCAUCCUGACCCUAACUGUGACACACACACCACUGAAAAUGAGGACCAGACAGUCUGGCAGUAAGUAUGUUAUAACGUAUUCAUUUAUGUGUUUAUUUUGUAUACAGUUUUUGUGUUUGUUUGUGUGAGUGGGUAAUUGGGUGAGUGAGAGAGAGACACAGAAAGUAGAGGUGAGAGAGAAUGCUGCAGAGCAGUGUGUAAAGUGCUCAUACUGUGUUUCCUGUGUCGCUGUCUCUGAGUGUGAGGGACUCCAGGGGAGAAAACCACCACAGAACCUGGACUGAAGACAACCACCACAGAACCUGGACUGAUAGAACCACCACAGAACCUGGACUGAAGAGAACCACCACAGAACCUGGACUGAAGAAAACCACCACAGAACCUGGACUGAUAGAACCACCACAGAACCUGGACUGAUAGAACCACCACAGAACCUGGACUGAAGACAACCACCACAGAACCUGGACUGAAGACAACCACCACAGAACCUGGACUGAAGAGAACCACCACAGAACUUGGACUGAUGAGAACCAUCACAGAACCUGGACUGAAGAGAACCACCACAGAACCUGGACUAAAGAGAACCAUCACAGAACAUGGACUGAAGAGAACCACCACAGAACAUGGACUGAAGAGAAUCACCACAGAACCUGGACUAAAGAGAACCACCACAGAACCUGGACUGAAGACAACCACCACAGAACCUGGACUGAAGAGAACCACCACAGAACUUGGACUGAUGAGAACCAUCACAGAACCUGGACUGAAGAGAACCACCACAGAACCUGGACUAAAGAGAACCAUCACAGAACAUGGACUGAAGAGAACCACCACAGAACAUGGACUGAAGAGAAUCACCACAGAACCUGGACUAAAGAGAACCACCACAGAACCUGGACUAAAGAGAACCACCACAGAACAUGGAUGGAAGUGAACCACCACAGAACAUGGGCUAAAGAGAACCAUCACAGAACAUGAACUGAAGAGAACCACCACAGAACAUGGACUGAAGAGCUAUGGCUCCAAAGCAAAGCUAGUCGUUACACCUCUAUUCUCUUGCUAAUAUAUUGUUAUAAUAUCUUGAAGGUUCACCCAAAUUACAAAAUGACACAUUGGUUUCCUUACCCUUUUACCAGUCUAUGAACAUGGUGUGACAGCAGUCCAUGCUUUGGUUAAGUUUCCCCUGGCACUGUUUCAACUUGCUAACGUUUUAGCAUCCGUGGCACAAAUCCCAUUCAAGUAGAGAGGCAUUUCUCGCAAAAAAUGUUGAAAUCAUUCAAAAAUAAAAAAUGCAUUGUGAAGCUCAACAAAGUCACUUAAUAUGUGAAAUAUUAUUAUCGGUCCCAUGACUUGAAUGGGAUUUUUGUUACAAAUGCUAUAAUGUUAUGUAAAUGUCGGAGUGUUCGACAUUGCAGCCAACUUUAUAGGCGAGUCAAGAUCUACAAAUCAUCUUGCAUGAUAAAUAACUACUCAAUGUUAUUAAUAGACCAGUCAGUCACAAUUUACCCAUCAUACAUCACAGUUUUGAUGCUCUUGAACACUGUCUGUGUGACUGUGGAAUGAAGCCCUCUCUGCAUAAAUGUCUUAGUUACUGACAUAGAGUUGGAUAGAGGGUAUAUCUUGGCAUCUUUGUCAAGAUGUCUUCUGUGACAGAAUGAGCAGCGCCAUUGAGGGCUAUUUACAUUUUAAAGUUGUUAAUGCAUUCUUCUUCAACUUCCAUAAGUUUAAUAACAGUCGGUAUACCAAUUGAAAUGGUGUAUUCAAUGGCUUUGCCAUGCUAAAACAGGCUUUUUAGCAAGUGCGCCCUCUAUUCAACUCUAUUGUCCCUGACUGCUUCAAAGUUGUCAACCACACACUUCAAACCUCACACUCAGUGUCUAUUUACAUAGACUUCCAGUAAGUUAACUUACAACACAUCUCCCCUUCACUCUACUGCAGGGUGGGAGAUGCAACAAUGGCCUUGAGAACAGCAGGAAGUGUGUUGGUGGUCAUUCUCUGGUCUGUAGCAGGUGUUCUGGGACAAAAUACUGUGAGGAGUGUCUGUGCCUUAAAGGGGUCAUCAGUGGACAUGCGCUGUCCUGUUCCCAGUGUGACCCAAGUCACAGAGAUAGUCUGGUAUAACAAAUGGUUGAAUCAUGAGCCUUAUGAUCUGAGAUGGGACCCUAAGUAUGAAGGUCGUGUGGAGUACAGUGGAACUACAGAGAAAGACUGCAUCCUGAGAAUCACAGACCUGAGAGAGAGUGACAUAGCAACAUAUUACUUCAGAUAUAAAACAACCCAGUAUUCAGAAUGGAAAUAUUCAUAUGGAUUCACUCUCAGUCUCACAGGUGGAGAGGAUAUAUGACAACACACUGACCUGUAUCACCACCUGUACUCUGACUGACAACCCCACCUACAUCUGGUACAAGAACGGACAACUUCUA